rnacentral:rRNA from 1 species
AUUGAACGCUGGCGGCAGGCUUAACACAUGCAAGUCGAGCGGAGAUGAGGUGCUUGCACCUUAUCUUAGCGGCGGACGGGUGAGUAAUGCUUAGGAAUCUGCCUAUUAGUGGGGGACAACAUUACGAAAGGAAUGCUAAUACCGCAUACGUCCUACGGGAGAAAGCAGGGGAUCUUCGGACCUUGCGCUAAUAGAUGAGCCUAAGUCGGAUUAGCUAGUUGGUGGGGUAGAGGCCUACCAAGGCGACGAUCUGUAGCGGGUCUGAGAGGAUGAUCCGCCACACUGGGACUGAGACACGGCCCAGACUCCUACGGGAGGCAGCAGUGGGGAAUAUUGGACAAUGGGGGGAACCCUGAUCCAGCCAUGCCGCGUGUGUGAAGAAGGCCUUAUGGUUGUAAAGCACUUUAAGCGAGGAGGAGGCUACUGAGACUAAUACUCUUGGAUAGUGGACGUUACUCGCAGAAUAAGCACCGGCUAACUCUGUGCCAGCAGCCGCGGUAACAC